CACGUAGGGGGCAAGCGUUGUCCGGAUUUAUUGGGCGUAAAGAGCGUGUAGGCGGCCAGGUAGGUCUGCUGUGAAACUCGAGGCUUAACCUCGAGCUGUCGGCGGAAACCAUCUGGCUAGAGUCCGGAAGAGGAGAAUGGAAUUCCCGGUGUAGCAGUGAAAUGCGUAGAGAUGCGGAGGAACACCGAUGGCGAAGGCAGCCCCCUGGGCUAACACUGACGCUCAGGCACGGAAAGCGUGGGGAGCAAACAGG
rnacentral:rRNA from 1 species